GGGACCUGUACUCGUUGCGGCGCAACGAUCGUAAAAGA
rfam:Desulfosporosinus sp. OL contig00011, whole genome shotgun sequence.